CUAAAUCCGAUAAAGGGAAGGAAAAAGUAGUCGAAUAGCCAUCGGAAUCGUUCGACAACAUCCGAGAUUUUGCUCGUUAGCGAUCGGAUUCGGGAUCAUAGAAGUUGAAGUCAACCACACUAUCAAAGCCCUUUUUGGUACUCCUUUAGUUGAGUUCGGAUAUGGCAUGUAUAGGACUACCCUCGGUUAUUUUAAGUACUUGUGAUGUAUAUGUGUACGGCCAUGCGAAAAUGGUUCGUAAUAGUGGAGUAUGGAAUUAGACCAUUUGUGGUUUGUAAUUAUAUAUGGUUUCAUGAUGUGAUUAUGGAUUGGAAUGGGAGUGUUGGUCACAUGAUCAGCCAUUGGAAUGGCUAAA